rnacentral:rRNA from 1 species
UCCACACUGGGACUGAGACACGGCCCAGACUCCUACGGGAGGCAGCAGUAGGGAAUCUUCCGCAAUGGACGAAAGUCUGACGGAGCAACGCCGCGUGAGUGAUGAAGGUUUUCGGAUCGUAAAACUCUGUUGUUAGGGAAGAACAAGUACGAGAGUAACUGCUCGUACCUUGACGGUACCUAACCAGAAAGCCACGGCUAACUACGUGCCAGCAGCCGCGGUAAUACUG